UGUGAAUCUGUGUGGGAGGGGUGGGAAACCGACUGCUGUCUGGUUGUUUUUAAUAUUGUAAAGCGCUUUGAGCUGCAUUUGCAUGAAAAUUGCUUCAUAAAUAAAUUUUGAUUUGAUUUUUGAUUUGAUUUGAUGUGGGUGUGUUUGGAGGACUUGGUCAGAAGCUGAGCACAGGCCUUCUGAACCACCUGUAGACGGUUCAGGGACGUUUUGCUCAGACACAUGAAAAGAGAGUUGCAGUGCUCCAUGCAUGGAGAUAACUUGUUGAAGCCACAAUUUCCAUCCCUGCCUUCUAUUUCAUUUAACUUCUGUUUUUUUAAAGCCUUCCAUCACAUCAGCAUUUACACUUUUACACAAAUUAGCAAAUUUUCAUUUCUAUAUUUUCUUUGUUUUACCAGAAAACCAUUCACAAAACAAAAGUAUCACUUAAAAAAAUUGCUUUAAAUAAAUUUUUCAUCCGGCUCAGGGUCACAGCUGUUCUCAGCAGAGAUGGGAAUUUUGGCUUCAUCAAGUCGUCUCCAUGUGGUGUUUUUGUUCUGCUCAGCAACUGAACCAGGUCAAAUGACUGUGCUGAUUGAAAUCACCUGGUUUUGUUGCUGAGCGGAACAAAAACACGACAUGGAGACGACUUGUUGAUGCCACAAUUUCCCAUCUCUGGGGAAAGAUUCAUAAGGCUCAAACAAUGAUGUUUAAGCCAGUUUAUUACAAAAAGCAUCCCAACCAAGAUGAAAAACUCUGUAGUUAGGAGGUGACUCACCUAAACAAUGAAAACCAAAAUAAACUAUGAGCAAAGCAACUCUAAAAAUACUCUUAAAGGUGACAAAUAAUGCAGUUUAUCAGCAUCUAAAACAGUUCUUUGAAUCUCUAAGAAGCAGAAGAAAUUUUCUUUUGGCUUUCAUCUGUCCCAGGAACGCGGAUACAGGCCGUUCUAAACCCUUAAAACAGCCUUGCAGUGAAAAGAGCUGUUUACCCCUUCCACAUGACCAGAACAUGAACAUGCUCAUGAGCUGCUUGCUGAUUGGUUGGUUUAAACCAGAAGGCCUCAGACAUUGGAGACUGCAGAUUGGAGAAGGAAGGACACCACACUGUGACAUUUUUAUGAGAAGUUUCUCAGAAAAUAAGUUUUUCUCUGGCAUUUUAAACUCGCCUCCCGUGUGUCAGGUAAUAAAAGCGACGGCGACAAAUUUCGCUGAUCACAGUUGUUUGUAGCCUCCCAUGUGUCAAGCCCAUAAUUCAGGCUUUGGACUGCAGCAACUGCCUUUUAUCUGGUUCUGGUAAUUAUUCGCAGUUAACUCUCAAAAUCUGCCCUCGAGCUUUCCAGGUAGCUUCUAGCCUCUCUGCUUUCACUCAUUUCCUGUUUUCCCCUCCUGCUUCUCCUCCUCUGUCUACAAACAAAAUCUCUCCUAAAUAGGCUGCAGCUGGUGAUGGGCAUCAGCUGUAGCUGAAGGGAGUUCACGGGGCGUCGCUCUCCAUGGUGCUGGAAGGAAGAGCCCAGGCAGGUACUGUGUAGCGGAGUUGUCCAUGGUCCUGAACUGGAGGCAGACUGGUGGUAAAACCAUCGACAUAAAUAUACUGGACAAUUCAUUUCCAUAGGCUCCAAUAAGUUUUUGUGCUAAAAUGGGAGGUGGCCACCACCGCCAUUUUGACCGCGUCACAGGUUCCAUCAAGCCCAGACAAUUCCAAAAAAGGGAAGAGAGGUGGAGCUGAGGGUGGGGCUGUAAGGCUGGGAUCAACUGACGACACCCGGUCGAACUAGCUACAAGCUAACCUGAAGCUAACCCAAAGCUAACGCGGAGGUGGGAGCCGAGCUAACGAAUGUAGCCACCUAGCUACAACCGGAGCUAACUCUGUGGAACACCCAUCGACCACAUGGAGUUCACGUGGAGGUUUGAGGCACUUCUUCAUGAGAAGUACCUUUCUGUGAAUAAAAAAUAUUAAAUCGGUAAGUUUAUAAGUUAUUUCCGUCAUGAAAAUAUAUUUUGCUUUGAGCAAGUUUUCACUAUUUAUCACGUACCGUAUUUUCAGGACUAUUAAGUCGCUCCUGAGUCGCACCAGCCAUUAAAUGUAUAAUGAAGAAGAAGAAAAAAACAUAUAUAAGUUGUAUUUGGGGGGGGAAUUUUAUUUUUCUUACAAAAUCUGAGACCAAGCGUUUCACAUUGCAAGACAAGUACCGGUAACAAUAACUGAAUAAUGCGCCGCAGCAGCGUGCCACGGUCUCCAGCAGAGGAAGGCAGUGUUUGAAACCCUCCCAGCGGGACAGGGGAACUCAUUCUUGGGUCGGAGUCGGCCCGCAGCAGCGCGGUGUAGCCUACAUGUUUUGUUAUGUAAGUCGCUCCGGAGUAGCAGGACCGACCAGACUAUGAAAAAAGUGUGAUUUAUAGUCCGGAAAAUACGGUAGUUAUUAGUAUUUGAGAUAAAUUAGCAGGCUAAAUACAUUUCAUAUAUUUCCAAAACGUAUUACUUGUUUGUAUCUUGUACAGGCAACUAGCCUUUAUUCUGGACUCAGUACAAUUCACCAAAAGUAAAGAGACAUUAUACAGAUGAAGAAAGCACAAGAUAACUUACUGGAGGAAACAGAAUUAUUAUCAUGAGAACCAGAACAAGAGAGCCUGAUAAAGUCAUGUGAAAAUAACAGUUAAAAAGUAUGUAUGUGUAAUAGAAAUAAAAAUAUAUUAGAAUUAGUGUAACUCACUGUGAUCCAAACAAUAAAUCAGCCAUAGCUGAUUAGCAAUCAUGAAAUGAGGUCUGGGAGUUUUUAAGUUUCAUUCUUUUACAUUUUACAUCUUUUUCUUAGAUCUGUUAAAAGGUCACCAUGGCAGCCUGUGUGUCUUCAACGUCAGCAGCGUCCAUUUGGAUCAUUGGUGACAGCUGAGUGAGGCGUGGUGCCCAGAGCUGCAGCUACUCUCGGAGACAACCUUGGCCUCCCUGACAUCUGUGUCUCCUGGUUCGGUUGGGGCGGACUGAGGUGGAAAGACCUUCUCCCCUUCUUUUUCAACUCCAUGCAUGGAAGAGCAGCUCCUGAUGUACUUCUCAUCCACUGUGGUGGCAAUGACAUGGGGGUGGUCAGCAGUGUGAAUCUGGUGAACAUGAAGGAGGACCUGCACCGGCUUCACCUUCUACAUCCUCAUAUCACACUGUUGAGAACUGUUCUUCCUUCACAACCCAAUGUCCACUCACUCUGCAGCUCUCUGGGCCCCUUUUAUUAUUUUAAGUAUUUUUUAAAUGUCCUGACACUUUGUGUCCUGUUAUUUUAUAAAUUGUGAUGUAAAAAAUAAACGUUUUGCUCAAUUCCUGGAGUUUUUUUGGUUAAGACAAAAAAGGAAGGAAGAAUCAUUUAUGCCAAGUUGUUUCUACAACAGGCCUGUUUUAAGUCCAACAGUUUCUUAGCAGCCAAUAGAAAUGUGUUCUUUACUAACUUUACUUGGUUUAAAAAUCUUACUAAAAUAAACAGAGUGCUGUAUUGCACAACCCAAUCAUACUUGUUAUGUAAAUAUUAGCUUUGUAGAUAUUUCUUACAGAUAGAUAUUUGUGUGCUAAAAAACUAAAUAUUUUGUCAUUCUUUAUUGAAAAACAAAAUACUGGUAUACAGAAAGUGUGGGAAAAUGAUAAUGUGAAAGUAUUGCUCUUUAAAUGUAAUACUAUUUAUCAUUAAAAAGAAAAACUCUAAAAAUGUCCUGUACAGCAACAUGACAGAAGAAAGGUGGUCUGUCUGUCAGAAUGUGCUGAACAGAUUUCCUCUAUCAAGAGGAGCCUUUUGUGUAAGAGUUUAUGUUAUUGUAUUAUUGGUUUGGGUUAUGUAUCGCCACAUUAGCAUGUAAAUGCUGAACCAAUCUGGAAUAAAGAGGUAUUCUGACCAUUAGAGGUGGUUCACCACACUGCUUCCUCAGUCUCACAUCCUGGGUCGUCUUUCUCUUCCACAGCUCUUCGAUUUUCUUACCAAUUCCUGGAGAGCCAAAUAGACCCACAUUUAAAAUAGAAAAAAAAAUCCUGUAAUAUUCACUAUAUACAUCCCCAAAGAUUACCUUUUCCCAUGUGCCAGGGGUCAAAGUAGUGACUGAUUUCUUUUUUUUUCCUCAUGCAAAUACUUCUGCACCCAUGUGUGGCGGUCAGUCACAACUUGCUGCACAUCGACCCCCCCUCUCCAAAAGUGUGCUCAGACUUCGCACAAAUCCCUCCUUCUCCAUUCGCACACUAUUUCCAGCUUCAUUGCUCUGAAAAUAAACAUAGUUCUCCAUCAGGUAAUCUUGUACCUGUACGAGUUGGAUAUCAAUAACUUUGUUUCUUUUGAGAUCCAUCAUGGUGUAGCUGCCAUAUUUGGCUGAGUGUCCUUCAGAAAUGCAAGUUAUUACUUAAUUUACAUUUGAUAGCAAAGUAAUAAAAUAAAUAAAUUUAAAAGUAUUCACCAGGUGAAUCAGCUCGCAUGUUACCACCAAGAGUCACAGGUCCAGAUUCAGUAGCCUCCUGGAUGAUAUCAGCUUGCUCUAGCUGCCACUGCCAGCUCACUGUUGGAAUUAACAGCUUUGCCUGAUGUCGAUAGAAUGUCUGCUUGGACAGUCCCUGCACAUUGAAGGCACCCAGGAACUAAAAUAUGAAAAGUUACAUCAUGAAAUGAGAGAUGCACAGACCUUAUCAAAACUAACCUAAACAUUUUUGACCUAUAACUUAGAAAUCUGGCUAAAUGAUGAGCCAGACUUUCUGGAAGAUGAAUUUCUGUCAUGGUCCCUGUGUCACAAGACACACAGCAGCUGGGAGCUCUAAACUGGCUGGCUAUAUAAAAAACAAAGAAACAGCACAUUUAUAAAUGUUUAAAAGAGCAUAAAAUCACAAGUAACAAUAAUCUGCUAAACAAAUUAAAACUAGAAGGUAAUAAUAAAAUGUUUACAUAGACGAUUAUUACAAAUAAUUCACCUUUGCUACGGGUAAGGCUUCACGUUAGCCUGGACAAGUGCAUUCUUGCAUACUACUAAAUCAGUCUGACAUCUUGGGUAGAUUUGGCCUGAAAAAAAAAUAGAAGCACAUUGUUGUUGUAGUCUAUAAAGUGAGAUAAUAUACAAAAGAAACUGUCAGAUAUAGGCACUUUAUAACAUUCCCAGUGUGUGAUCGUUGUUAUAACGUAAAAGUCAGUCACAUAUGAUGUGGAGAGAGACUGAAAUGCAACCUCCUGAACAGAAUUCCUUACAGAACCAGGUCACGCUGUGAUGUAAACCUGGAUUUCACGCUGUAAUGCUGUCUGUCAACUAGUGCUGCGUUAGUUAGAGUCACUGUUGCAGAAUUACCGACUGACACAAAAACAACCUGAAUUUUCUCAGAGCCUGACAGUAAUAGUCAUGUGGACCGUUUCGUCGGCCAGGGCUUCGAGAUAUGUUCCGAUUCGCCGCUGAUUCUAACCUUACAUCCCGUUCCACAUUUUUGACAAAUCAGCCCAAAGGCAGUGCAGACUGAUAUUAGCUAAAUUAAGUGAACCACGUCUGUCAAACUUUGAAUUUAGGUAGGGAAUUGAGCUGCAGUAUUUCUGCGGUCAGGUCUCUCUACGAGUCCGAGAGCUCAACGAGUGGUCAGCCCGCGCAGCAGCUAGUAGGCGCCACAUCGGUCAGACAUGCACCGGGCUGACCGCUGGGGAGAACCGGGUGGAAGAAUGGAACACAGAAGUGUCCCUCCAAGAGCUACGUCAUAUUUCAACCCAUUUUUAUGUUAAAUGCACUGGGUUUUACCCUUUUACCCAUCGACAUAUGCCCUAUUAAUUAUUUUACCGUAUUUUACAUCUAAAUUUCAUGGUUAAACAGUACAUGCUACAUGUUAAAAUGAUAGUUAGCUAGCUACUUCGAUAAACUCAGCUAGUUUGAAGGCGGCAGUGACCUAAAAUGCAUAAAUAUAAUUUAACUUACAGAAUAAAAUGAAGUGGAGACUCCUUGGACGCUCUAUUAGUGCAAUUAAUGCCACAGCAAGUCAUUUUGUCCAACAAUUGCACCAAUAAUAUCCAAACAAGAAUACACAAUCACAGAGACUCAAAAUCCCGAAACAGUUUCCAGGCCAGACUGAGGCUCUACUGAGGCCUUUCCACAGAGCUAGCUCUGUGGUCACGUGGGUCUGAUGCUCAUUAAUUAUACAGAAUUUUAGGCUUUUAAUACACUUAAACAGAAGAGUGAGAAAAA